rnacentral:rRNA from 1 species
UACGUAGGGUGCGAGCGUUAAUCGGAUUUACUGGGCGUAAAGCGUGCGCAGGCGGCCCGUUAAGACAGGUGUGAAAUCCCUGGGCUCAACCUAGGAAUUGCGCUUGUGACUGGCGGGCUGGAGUACGGUAGAGGGGGGUGGAAUUCCUGGUGUAGCAGUGAAAUGCGUAGAGAUCAGGAGGAACACCGAUGGCGAAGGCAGCCCCCUGGGCCUGUACUGACGCUCAUGCGCGAAAGCGUGGGGAGCAAACAGG